AAUGAACGUUGGCGGCGUGGAUUAGGCAUGCAAGUCGAGCGGGUGUAGUAAUACAUCAGCGGCGAAAGGGAGAGUAACGCGUAGUUACGUGCCCCGAGGUCCAGAAUAGCUACGGGAAACUGUAGGUAAUGCUGGAUGAUAUCUCCGGAUCAAAGGUGUGAUUCCGCCUCGGGAGCGGACUGCGUCCUACUAGCUAGUUGGCGGGGUAAUGGCCCACCAAGGCGACGAUGGGUAGCGGGUGUGAGAGCAUGACCCGUCUCACUGGGACUGAGACACUGCCCAGACACCUACGGGUGGCUGCAGUCGAGAAGCUUCGGCAAUGAGCGCAAGCUUGACCGAGCGACGCCGCGUGCGGGAUGAAGGCCUUCGGGUUGUAAACCGCUUUCGGUUGGGAGGAAAUCGCUAGGGGUUCUCCCCUAGUGUUGACCUAUCUUCGGAAGAAGGACGGGCUAAGUUCGUGCCAGCCGCCGCGGUAAAAC
rnacentral:rRNA from 1 species